UACGGAGGGAGCUAGCGUUGUUCGGAAUUACUGGGCGUAAAGCGCACGUAGGCGGCUUUGUAAGUUAGAGGUGAAAGCCCGGGGCUCAACUCCGGAACUGCCUUUAAGACUGCAUCGCUUGAAUCCAGGAGAGGUGAGUGGAAUUCCGAGUGUAGAGGUGAAAUUCGUAGAUAUUCGGAAGAACACCAGUGGCGAAGGCGGCUCACUGGACUGGUAUUGACGCUGAUGCGCGAAAGCGUGGGGAGCAAACGGG
rnacentral:rRNA from 1 species